rnacentral:rRNA from 1 species
CGCGUAGGAAUUUACCUUUUAGUGGGGGAUAACUCCGGGAAACCGGGGCGUAAUACCGCAUAUACCCUAUGGGGGAAAGGUGGGGGACCGUCUUCGGAGACCUCAUGCUAUUAGAUGAGCCUGCGUCGGAUUAGCUAGUUGGUAGGGUAAUGGCCUACCAAGGCAACGAUCCGUAGCUGGUCUGAGAGGAUGAUCAGCCACAUUGGGACUGAGACACGGCCCAGACUCCUACGGGAGGCAGCAGUGGGGAAUAUUGCACAAUGAGGGAAACCUUGAUGCAGCAAUACCGCGUGUGUGAAGAAGGCCUUAGGGUUGUAAAGCACUUUCAAUCAGGAGGAUUGCUAUUUUGGAUAAUAACCUUAAUAGUUGACGUUACUGAUACAAGAAGCACGGCUAACUCAGUGCCAGCGGCUGCGG